rnacentral:lncRNA from 1 species
UUGUCGCCAACUCUUCUACCCAUCUUUAAUUGGCUUGGUAGUAUCAAUCUGUUUUGCUUUUUCUUAGUCGAAAUUUGCUGAUAGUGCUUCCAAACUAUUGCCAAUGAAUUGUCUACACUUGGCAAUCUAUCGAGUGAUGAGGAUCUUCUUCUCUACAGUCCUCAUGGUCUUGGACCGGCAUAUAAAGAGGUUAUUACAGUCCUUCACACGAGAUUUCUGUUGGAAUGCGGAAGCGGAAUUAAUCAGAAAUUAAAAUUUUCUUUAAUUUAAUAAGCAAGAUCGUCUAGAUGAUCACGUGUAUGUUAUAACAAAAUUAAAGGAUUCGAAUAUUUUACCUAAAUUCAAUGAUCAACCUUGAAUUAACUCUGAUUCGCGAACUUCUGUCUCCUUUAACUGCAAGAAUCUUGGCGCUUCAAACCUUCAAGCCUUCUAUGGUAUUCUCCAAUGUAAAUACUACACUAACGUGUGGGCACCUUCUUUCAAUUAAUCCAGAAACUAAU